GAAUUUUGGACAAUGGGCGCAAGCCUGAUCCAGCCAUGCCGCGUGAGUGAAGAAGGCCUUCGGGUUGUAAAGCUCUUUCAGAUGCGAAGAUGAUGACGGUAACAUCAGAAGAAGCCCCGGCUAAUUUCGUGCCAGCAGCCGCGGUAAUACGAAAGGGGCAAGCGUUGUUCGGAUUUACUGGGCGUAAAGGGCACGCAGGCGGUCCUGCCAGUCAGGGGUGAAAGCCCGGGGCUCAACCCCGGAACUGCCUCUGAUACUGCAGGACUAGAGACUAGGAGAGGGUGGUGGAAUUCCCAGUGUAGAGGUGAAAUUCGUAGAUAUUGGGAGGAACACCAGAGGCGAAGGCGGCCACCUGGACUAGAUCUGACGCUCAGGUGCGAAAGCGUGGGGAGCAAACAGG
rnacentral:rRNA from 1 species